CCGGCGCGACGGUGAGUAACGCGUAUGAACCUUACCUAUCGGAGGGGGACGAACCGGCGAAAGUCGGACUAAUACCGCAUGAAGCAGGGGCCCCGCAUGGGGAUAUUUGCUAAAGAUUCAUCGCUGAUAGAUAGGCAUGCGUUCCAUUAGGCAGUUGGCGGGGUAACGGCCCACCAAACCGACGAUGGAUAGGGGUUCUGAGAGGAAGGUCCCCCACAUUGGUACUGAGACACGGUCCAA
rnacentral:rRNA from 1 species